rnacentral:lncRNA from 1 species
CUGCCGUGACCCUCUCUAUGACAGGACGGGCUCUAUGAAUGGUAACUAACAGGAUGAGAGAUGUGAGGAGUUGUGACGACCGAAAAAAGAUGCAGGCAGCAGUAACUGCUACUCCACAGCACCCCAUUCUUAGCCGGUGGAAGAAACCAUACGGAGUUUCCAACAUGUGGUCCAACAUGUGGCCAAAGAAAUGUUGAGGGAGCCUGGUUCCCAGGUUCCAGCCAGCUGCCUAAAGCGGGAGACACACUCAUCUAUGUCCCGAGUGACCCAAACCUUUAGAACCUUUUAACUCUUUUUCCAAAUGCCUCACUCACACACGAGUCCACAUUUUCCCUAAAUGGAGCCUGUUUGCAAAGGGCCACCUCGGAAACCUCGGGCUUUUCCCCGAGGCUCGUGCCCGCAGUCUACUCAGUAAGAGGAAAAAGAAAAGCAGUCAGAUGUGUGGAUGAGGUGACUGUGGCAGGAGCUGAAAUCUCAGAGAGACACAACUAGAAAACAGAGCACAAAGUGAUGGCCUCAGCACCCCGGUGUCCUGCAACAAAAAGAAGACACAGAAUUACCAACAGCCCUCAAAUGCAGUGCAGGCCCUCUUCAGGAUCUACA